AUUGAACGCUGGCGGCAGGCCUAACACAUGCAAGUCGGACGGUAGCACAGAGGAGCUUGCUCCUCGGGUGACGAGUGGCGGACGGGUGAGUAAUGUCUGGGGAUCUGCCCGAUAGAGGGGGAUAACCACUGGAAACGGUGGCUAAUACCGCAUAACGUCGCAAGACCAAAGAGGGGGACCUUCGGGCCUCUCACUAUCGGAUGAACCCAGAUGGGAUUAGCCAGUAGGCGGGGCAGUGGCCCACCUAGGCGACGAUCCCUAGCUGGUCUGAGAGGAUGACCAGCCACACUGGAACUGAGACACGGUCCAGACUCCUACGGGAGGCAGCAGUGGGGAAUAUUGCACAAUGGGCGCAAGCCUGAUGCAGCCAUGCCGCGUGUAUGAAGAAGGCCUUCGGGUUGUAAAGUACUUUCAGCGGGGGGGAAGGCGGUGCGGUUAAUAACCGCGCCGAUUGACGUUACCCGCAGAAGAAGCACCGGCUAACUCCGUGCCAGCCGCCGCAGUAA
rnacentral:rRNA from 1 species